rnacentral:rRNA from 1 species
CGGGGAAUCUUGCGCAAUGGGCGAAAGCCUGACGCAGCCAUGCCGCGUGAAUGAUGAAGGUCUUAGGAUUGUAAAGUUCUUUCGCCCGUGACGAUGAUGACGGUAACGGGAGAAGAAGCCCCGGCUAACUUCGUGCCAGCAGCCGCGGUAAUACGAAGGGGGCUAGCGUUGUUCGGAAUUACUGGGCGUAAAGCGCGCGUAGGCGGUUUUGCAAGCCAGAGGUGAAAUGCCUGAGCUCAACUUAGGAAUUGCCUUUGGGACUGCGAGGCUUUGAGGACGAGAGAGGUGAGUGGAAUUCCCAGUGUAGAGGUGAAAUUCGUAGAUAUUGGGAAGAACACCGGUGGCGAAGGCGGCUCACUGGCUCGUUUCUGACGCUGUAGCGCGAAAGCGUGGGGAUCAAACAGGAUUAGAUACCCCCGUAGUCCCUGAGCGGGCUGGCAAGGCGCAU